rnacentral:ncRNA from 1 species
GAUUUAUAAAGAAGCGUGGAGAGACAGGCUCUAUGAAGCGCUAGCAACCAUGCCGACACAUCGGCAAAGGUGCUAAAUCCUGAUCCCAAAUGAGUGUCAAGUUGGCUCUCGGGAGAAUAUAAAUU